GCAAGACUAACUCACGGGCAAAUUUGAAUGCUGUAAGAACAAAAUUGUCAUGAAAAACAUGUGAGGAGAAAUCAUCCAGUGGUUCGCCUCCGGAGGCCCUGUGAGCCGUCGGGAGCAAGUCAGUCGCUCGCUUCCUUGGGUCGGCAUCGUACAAGACGCACCGCCUACACAAUCGAUUAUCGAACCUAAAAUCGAUUUGGAUCGAAUUCACCAUCGAUUUCGUCAUCGUCACCGUGUCGUCACAUCACCGACUUCACGGACCAUCACGUCAACUGUAUUGUCAUCCGGCACUGCAGGCACCUUCUGUCGGCGUCGAACCCACCAGUAACCUCCAGCUCAACAUCGUUUAUUUUGGAUGUUUGGAAAAGCGAGUCGUCAUCCAGCAAAGUACCUUUUUUCUUUUUAUAAUUUUACUUUAUUUUUAUUUAUUUAUUUUUUUUUUGGUAAAACCCUGGCCACUAAGGAUGAUUAGGAAUUUUGAAUAUAAUUGAGGAAAUUUCAUUUAAUUUUUCUGUGUGUAAAUAAAUUGUAAAUAUUUAA